GUAUAUGUACAUGCCUACAACGUUGAUGCAUCGAAUCCCAUUAGAACUCCGUAGUUAAGUGUGCUUGGGCUAGAGUAAUAGUGGGAUGGGUGAAUUUCCGAGAAGUCCUAAUGUUUUCC
rfam:Picea glauca, whole genome shotgun sequence.